ACUACGGGAGGCAGCAGUGAGGAAUAUUGGUCAAUGGGCGGAAGCCUGAACCAGCCAAGUCGCGUGAGGGAAUAAGGCCCUACGGGUCGUAAACCUCUUUUGCCGGGGAGCAAGGGCGGGGACGUGUCCCGGCCCGGAGCGUACCCGGAGAAAAAGCAUCGGCUAACUCCGUGCCAGCAGCCGCGGUAAUACGGAGGAUGCAGGCGUUAUCCGGCUUUAUUGGGUUUAAAGGGUGCGUAGGCGGCAGGGCAAGUCUGGGGUGAAGGGCGGGGGAUAAACCCCCGGACCGCGUGGGAAACUGGCAGGAUGGAGUGCAGGAGAGGUAAGUGGAAU
rnacentral:rRNA from 1 species